CCCUUGAAGGGACUCUCUAC
rnacentral:snRNA from 1 species